rnacentral:rRNA from 1 species
UGAGGAAUAUUGGUCAAUGGGCGAGAGCCUGAACCAGCCAUGCCGCGUGAAGGAUGAAGGCGUUCUGCGUUGUAAACUUCUUUUGCGAGGGAAGAAACCUGAUUUUUCUAAAUCAGCCGACGGUACCUCGAGAAUAAGCACCGGCUAACUCCGUGCCAGCAGCCGCGGUAAUACGGAGGGUGCAAGCGUUAUCCGGAUUUACUGGGUUUAAAGGGUGUGUAGGCGGGCUAUUAAGUCAGUGGUGAAAUCUCUGGGCUCAACCCAGAAACUGCCAUUGAUACUAUUAGUCUUGAAUGUUGUUGAAGUGGGCGGAACGGGUCAUGUAGCGGUGAAAUGCAUAGAUAUGACCCGGAACACCGAUUGCGAAGGCAGCCCACUAAGCAAAGAUUGACGCUGAGGCACGAAAGCGUGGGGAUCAAACA